GUCGAGCGGUAGAGAGAAGCUUGCUUCUCUUGAGAGCGGCGGACGGGUGAGUAAUGCCUAGGAAUCUGCCUGGUAGUGGGGGAUAACGUUCGGAAACGGACGCUAAUACCGCAUACGUCCUACGGGAGAAAGCAGGGGACCUUCGGGCCUUGCGCUAUCAGAUGAGCCUAGGUCGGAUUAGCUAGUUGGUGAGGUAAUGGCUCACCAAGGCGACGAUCCGUAACUGGUCUGAGAGGAUGAUCAGUCACACUGGAACUGAGACACGGUCCAGACUCCUACGGGAGGCAGCAGUGGGGAAUAUUGGACAAUGGGCGAAAGCCUGAUCCAGCCAUGCCGCGUGUGUGAAGAAGGUCUUCGGAUUGUAAAGCACUUUAAGUUGGGAGGAAGGGUUGUAGAUUAAUACUCUGCAAUUUUGACGUUACCGACAGAAUAAGCACCGGCUAACUCUGUGCCAGCAGCCGCGGUAAUACAGAGGGUGCAAGCGUUAAUCGGAAUUACUGGGCGUAAAGCGCGCGUAGGUGGUUUGUUAAGUUGGAUGUGAAAUCCCCGGGCUCAACCUGGGAACUGCAUUCAAAACUGACUGACUAGAGUAUGGUAGAGGGUGGUGGAAUUUCCUGUGUAGCGGUGAAAUGCGUAGAUAUAGGAAGGAACACCAGUGGCGAAGGCGACCACCUGGACUAAUACUGACACUGAGGUGCGAAAGCGUGGGGAGCAAACAGGAUUAGAUACCCUGGUAGUCCACGCCGUAAACGAUGUCAACUAGCCGUUGGGAAGCCUUGAGCUUUUAGUG
rnacentral:rRNA from 1 species